rnacentral:tRNA from 1 species
GUGUUAGCACAACGGUUAGUGCCUCAGUCUUCCAAACUGAUUACGCGGGUUCGAUUCCCGUCAUCCGCUCCA